CAAGAGUCGGAUGCUUAACCAACUGAGCCACCCAGACGCUAUGCCUGUGGUGAGCAGGGUCUGCCUCAUUGACGUCAUUUAACCCUUUGCCUGGUGCAAAGUGCUUGAGCAAUAAAUAUAGAAGAAAUAAAGAAAAUAAGGAGGAUGCAUCAUUCCUCAGGCCACUCUUGGAAAUGUCAAUAGUCAGAGCCAGAAUUUUGAAUGGAAGCUUUGGAAGAGAUGAAAAUCUAUUUGGAAUGGACCCUGAUGUGGGGAUGCUGAUUUGUACGCUGACCUCCAGGCUGUAAAGAUACCUGAUAACGCAGCCAAGACUUGGCUCAGAAAGUGAUUCAGCGAUUUGCCUGAGACUGACCCAGUUUUAGCACAAAAAGUCUGGAGUCCUGAGAAAUGCCUCAGUCCCAGUCAAUUCGGAGCAACUGGUCGCCCAAGACAGCAAGUAAGGAGAUACUCGGGCACUCAGGCAAGCAGCAAAUCUCAGGCAAAUUCUGCAUCGUAAACCAAAGAAUUUUCUGUCAUCUGUUCCCUUCCCCUGUUCUACGAAGUCAGCGACAUUGGUUCACUUUAAUGAACGAGGCUGUUCUUAAAUGGAUCACCAUAGGAAAAAUGAGUCUGUUCUGCAAGCACCGAUUAACAGAGAAGUGACCGUUGCCUCUUGGCGAGUUACCCACACCCCUCCAUCACCAGCCUGCCAGCUCCCAUGCUGCCCAGCAGUUACAUAACCCUAAUUCCACCAAGUUCCUCUGAUGUUCAAGAUUAGGUUAACUUGGUUUCCCCUAAGCCAGAGGCCCAAUGUCACUGUUAACCAGGACACUGGAACAAAGGACACAAUGAUUACAGUCCCCUCCUCCUGCCAAUUGACAAGAACUACCCAACUAGAACCACAAAGAGAGAAAGAGAGAGUGUGUGUGUGUGUGCAUAGGAAAAUCUGACCUAAUGGCAAAGGAAUGCAUCCCCCUCCUCCAAGCACACACAAAUGUGUAUCUAGUUAUCAAAGAACUGUCCAGAAGGGUUAGAAGGCUCUGGUGUGCGGAGCCCACUGACCUGUCACUCACCAGCCCCGAAGGUUCAGAUAGGAACUCAAAGGACAUAGGAGUGGAAACGAUAGUGGGAUUUUGGUUUUGUUUUUUUUUUAAGAGUGAGAUACUGGAAGCUGGCUCCCGUUCCGUGGCGACGGGCCUUCCUUUAAAUAUAACCAGCAGAGAGAGCUGAGAAUGACUGCCAUGCUUGAAUGCCAAAUAAACACAAAAUGACAAGCACAGAUUUUUGGCUUUAUAUUAAAGCUUGCUUUUUCAACAACCCCUUUUGUUGCCUCUAAAGACAAUGGUCACAGUGUUUCUGCGCCAGAUCCUGGACCUCUGAGCAUAGGCUCCCUCGCCGCACCCAACCCCAGUUCCCUCCACAAGCACGGCUGAACCACAGUUGAUAUAAGUGGAUGGAACCGGUGGCCUUUCCGCUCUCCUUCUCACCUAACAGUUAAAACAGUCCUCAAAUUCUCUUACAGGAACGAGUAAAUAUUUCAGAUGUUUACACAGCCAGGACUUUCUGAAUGAAGGGAAACAGCAAGCUCCAAACCACAGCCAUAAGGAUUCCUCAGGUUUAAUCUGUUCAAAGGCCUGGGCCGUAACCUUCCUCCACCCGUUUCCUGGGGCUUCUUCAACAGCAGCAAGCAUGCCUUUGAUCGGAAUUUCAGUUCGGCUACCAGCUGGAUGCACAUUCCCAACGCCUCAGUGCUUUGCUUUCCAGCUGCCCACAGUGAUCCCACCGCCCAGGGAAGGAAGCAAGGACAUCAGAGCAAACCCUGGCCCCUUUCACAGCAGAGAGAAUGCUUUUUGGAGUCUCAUACUGGAACCCUGAAAGAUCUCCCCAUACGGAGAUAUAUCUACACAACACACACACACACACACACACACACACACACACACACACACUAAAAGUAAUUUAAGACUAGAAAGGUUUAAAGAGAAUUAGGAACUCUAAGAAAUUAUUUUAAGGAACUAUCAUUCAAAAAAAAUAAUAAGCAAGAGCAAAUUUUGGUAAUUAAGUAGUGGCUUAGAUCUGGGUCCUACUCUGUUUAUAUCGAUUUUUCCUUCUGAGUGUAGCGGGGGGCACAGGGGCGCAGACAGACCAGGCUGGGCCGGCUCCCCGCUGACAGAAUCCAAAGGCAGAGAGGCGAGUGUGGUGAGACAAGAAAGGAACUAGUUUCAGGGGAGCUGACACGGGAAAACAGCGGCUAGUGUCUGAAAGACUUAACUGGAAGGGUCCAAAAAUGCUUCCAGGUCUAUAUAAGGAAGGGGGGUGGGGGGGCAAAGGUGGGUGGGUCCGCACAGGUGGGCAGUGAAGGUCAGAUUCAUCAAGGCCUUAGACUCCAGCAUGGGGAGGGUCUUGCUGGCUCAGGGCAGCCCUUACCGCUGAGGGGGCAGUCUCCGUGCCCACCAGGCAAUGCUUUGCUCUUAGGGUCUUCCUCCUGAGCCAAGAGACAAGUUGCAAAGAAGAACCCAACUAGAAAGUUUGGGGUCAAAAUGGAGGCAACCCUCUUUCAUGAGCACUUGACUCCACACAGUUAACUUCAGUGCCCAUCUUUGAUCUCUGCUUCAUUCUGACUCUUUUCAGGUUUGGGGACCUCAGCUUGCCUAGACCCUCUCUGAUGUGGGAACUUCUGUUCCAACAAACUCCCCAUACUCCAUGCUUCCAUUUCUAACCUCAGAGACACACCCCCCGCACACCCAAGACCCAAGAGGCUCUGCCUCAGUCUCCCCCAUCCCUCGGGGAGGGAGGAGUGGCUUAUAGACUGCCCAUUGCCCGUGACCUCUCUUCAUGCAAAGGGAAAACUGCCUCAUACAAUGAAGAGAAGAGGCAGCAUUGCACUUAAAAGAAGCCAUAACCGCAGAGGAAUGAGGCAUGGAGGAGAAACUACUAGCAUGUGUCUCUAUAGGACUGGGCAGGACAUUUCUCGAAGUUGCCCCAGGACACCACAUUUACUCUUCUGCUGCACUCUGUGCACCAACCCACUCCCUCUUCUGUUAGGAUGUCCCCCAAGUCACCAAAUCUACCACAGAAAACCCAUGACAAGUUAGUUCGAGUUGAAAGGAAAAUCUCCAACUUCUUUUCCUGGUACCCAGUUCAAGACAGCAACGGUUCUCUGCUGGGUGCAAGCGAGAGCAGGAAACUGCUGUUCCGGACAGAGACUAGUGAACGGGGAAACUGUUUUUCAAAAUGACGAGUCACUCGUGGAAGUUUUUGGUAUCAUUCCUCCAAAGACUGGCAAUUGUUUCAGAAGAAAACAUCAGAAAUAGUACUAACCCCAAACCUGGUAACAAGAAAUUCUUGAUCAUUAUCCAUGAAUGAGGAUCAUCACCCCUUGGAUAAUGGUAUUGAAUACUUUUGUUAGAAUGGGGAUUUUCCCCCUUUUUUAUAGAAAAGACUAAUUAUACUUUAGUCUAGAAUGAUUCUCUCCUUACCGUGCUGUUCUCUUCUUAGAGCAAAACACAUGAGUGUGCUGUUACGGCAGGAGAACUUUGACCUGGGAAGGGUAUUUAGGCAUUCUCCCAGACAAGCUGUUGACUUCCACAAAAAAUUGGCAAAGGACAGAGCCAUCUGGGAUAAAAUGUUAUGCACAUUGUUGGUGGCUUACUCUUAGGAGUGCAUUUCAGUUUCAGACCACAAAAACCAUGACAUUAAGCAGCUAAUAGAGGCUAUUUUGUCUUACAUCACAGAUGGAGAAGGAUCCCAGGAUGGGUCCCUUUGUUUCAUCUAUUUCAAAAAUCUGAAACAUUAUUUUUCAGAUGAGCAUUUGGUGCAACUAUCCACUUCCCCAGUUUUAGAGUUUCCUAUACAGAGCAUCCUCUGUCCCUACAUCCCGGGGUACCCCGGGCAGUGGAGACUGUCAGCAGACUUAACAAGGGGUUAUCUAGGUUCUGGUGAUGACGUCACCACAACUUACUAUGGGAGGUUCUACAAGACACUUAAUAUUCCCAGAUCCAUUCGUUAAGAUAAGACUAGCUGUAGAACAAACACCAAAACUUCACUGUUAAUAAAAUAUUGCUACUUGCUCGUCACAGU